GACGAACGCUGGCGGCGUGCCUAAUACAUGCAAGUAGGACGCAGUUGCGAACGGGUGAGUAACGCGUAUGUACCUGCCUAUUAGAGGGUGAUAACUAUUGGAACCGAUAGCUAAUACCGCAUCCUCUUAGAUGGACCUGCGUUGUAUUAGCGAGUAGUUAGGGUAAUGGCCUACCUAGGCGACGGUACAUAGCCGACUUGAGAUGGGGAGCGGGCAAACUGGGACGGAGACACGGGCCAGAAUUCUACGGGAGGCAGAAGGAGGGAAUCGUCGGCAAUGGGGGGAAACCUGACUGAGAAACGCCGAGUGAGUGGAGAAGGUCUUCGGAGUGUAAAGCUCUGUUGUUAAGGAAGCGUUACUUAACCAGAAAGGGACGGCUAACUACGUGCCAGCAGCCGCGGUAAUUC
rnacentral:rRNA from 1 species